rnacentral:rRNA from 1 species
UACGAAGGGGGCUAGCGUUGCUCGGAAUCACUGGGCGUAAAGGGUGCGUAGGCGGGUCUUUAAGUCAGAGGUGAAAUCCUGGAGCUCAACUCCAGAACUGCCUUUGAUACUGAGGAUCUUGAGUGUGGGAGAGGUGAGUGGAACUGCGAGUGUAGAGGUGAAAUUCGUAGAUAUUCGCAAGAACACCAGUGGCGAAGGCGGCUCACUGGUCCAUUACUGACGCUGAGGCACGAAAGCGUGGGGAGCAAACAGGG